GGAUGAUGUGACUUGCCUUGCUCAGAGAGAACGGCCUUCCGAACCUUCGGCGACGGCCGCGAACCACGCUUCGGGAACCUCCGGAACGACAGAAGCUACGCGAAGCACACAAGCAAAGCUACAAGCCUAUAAAGAAGCAAUAACAAUAUAUAAAAAGAAAGCACACGGUUCUUUAGGUUAUAACAAACAUUAAGAGACUUGAACAGGUCGAUUCGGAGCUCGUAUGACCAAGAUAUGAUCAUCCGAAGUUUAAUGCUGUUAUAUGGAGAUUUGCGGAUUAUUAUAAUUAAGCUUUGCAACUAUAAAACAUGUGGAAGCGCUAGCCUGGAAAAGACAGGAAGGCUGCGCUGUUGACAUGCGGACCCCACAUGUCAACCUAAAGGACCGCGGUAGACCGAGUACACGGAGACGGUCCACGGGUCGACGGAAGCGGACCCCGUGUGUCAACCGAGGCGAGUGGCCGACAAACGGACUCCACUAGACACCACACGGGCUGCACACGUGGAAACCACGCGGCUACUGAGCGGACACACUAACACGGACACUACACGGUCACCACCCGCACACGUGAACGACUACCGACACCGGUACACGGGUACCGGGGUCGACAACCGCACAACGGGUACGGGGCGACACCGAAAGGACGAGGACGGGGCAGCGAGAGGAGAGAUCCUUACCACCACGCGACGAGGCGUGGGAAAGACAACGACGAACGGGCGCGGCGGAGACGGAUGGCAAGGGAACGACUUCAGCGGCGAUCCUUGAACGAAGGCGAGACACGGCCGGCACGAGGCUUGACGACGCGGAGGCGAGGACGAAGACGAUGAUGGGGCUGCGGCACUUGACGAAGCGAGGACGACGAACGAGAAUGGCUUGACGGAGGGACGAACGCCACGACAACCGGGAACGACGAGAGGGCGACGACGACGACGACCGGGGCCGGCGAGGAGGCGACGUGGGCAGCCUACAGCGGCUGCACGAAGACGAGGAUGGCGU
rnacentral:lncRNA from 1 species